GACGAACCGUGCGAACGUUGUUCGGAUUCACUGGGCUUAAGGGGCGCAUAGGCGGGCGGUCAAGUCAGGGGUGAAAUCUUUCGGCUCAACCGGAAAAGUGCCUUUGAUACUGGCCGUCUCGAGGGAGGUAGGGGCAUGCGGAACUUCCGGUGGAGCGGUGAAAUGCGUAGAUAUCGGAAGGAACGCCGGUGGCGAAAGCGGCGUGCUGGACCUCUUCUGACGCUGAGGCGCGAAAGCCAGGGGAGCAAACGGG
rnacentral:rRNA from 1 species